rnacentral:rRNA from 1 species
GACGAACGCUGGCGGCGUGCUUAACACAUGCAAGUCGAACGAUGAAGCGGGUGCUUGCACUCGUGGAUUAGUGGCGAACGGGCGAGUAACACGUGAGUAACCUGUCCUUUUCUUUGGGAUAACGGCUGGAAACGGCUGCUAAUACUGGAUAUUCAGGCUGCAUCGCAUGGUGUGGUUUGGAAAGGUUUUUUCUGGGAUUGGGUGGGCUCGCGGCCUAUCAGCUUGUUGGUGGGGUGAUGGCUUACCAAGGCUUUGACGGGUAGCCGGCCUGAGAGGGUGGUCGGUCGCACUGGGACUGAGAUACGGCCCAGACUACGACGGGAGGCAGCAGUGGGGAGUAUUGCACAAUGGACGAAAGGUUGAUGCAGCGACGCAGCGUGGAGGGUGUAGGCCUUCGGGUUGUGAACUCCUUUUUCUCGCGAAAAAGGCACAGUUUUGGCUGUGUUGAUGGUAGUGGGCGAAGAAGCGCCGGCUAACUACGUG